GCUUUUGGAAGGAUAAACUUUUAUUUCAAGGGAAAAUGCUGGACUCAGUUCUGCUCUCAUCUUAGAUCUGAAGGGAGUUGGCCAGGUCUCCUCUUCUUGAGGGUACAUGACUAAGAGAGAUGGGAGGGGGCCCACAGCACAGAGACCUGUUGCCAAGAACAUCUCAGGGUGGAGAGACCUUUGGAACAUUUUUUUCCACUCUACAUCAGACAGAAUAAAAUUGAUUAGCAUUUAAUUGGUUUCAGCUGUUCUUAACAUGUUGCAUAGAAAACGUCAAUGUACUUUGCUAAAUUCAAUAUUCCUUAUGGUUAACAGAUUGAAAACCAAAAACGUCCUUGAAGAAAACACCAGAAAUCAGUGCUUUAGAUCACACUGAGUUGUUUGCUAUUGGUCACCCACUUGGAAUGUUCUGGGAACGCUAACUACUUUGGAUUGGAUAUAUUCAGAAAAGAAACAAAUCUUUGUCUGAUCAGAUGUAUUUGGAGAAAACAAAAAACCCACAACCCAAAGGAUGGGAUUUCACAUCUCAAGACAUCUCCCAGCCUUUAGGCCAUUGAGCUCCAGAUGAACCUCAGUGAGGGAUAGUGUCCUCUCAAUAUUCAAGAGUUACCCUUCUAUGGGGGACCCCCUAGACUGCCCAUCAGUGAGACACAACAGAGGCAAAAUCCUGCCCCUCUCUCCCUUGGACCUGGCUGGAUACCAGUUUCCCCAAUCCAUGGAAACAGCCUCCUGCUCUGACAACUAGCAAGAGGCCAAGACUCACAGAACCACCUACAACCCCCCAACCUCUGUCAGCAGGAAGCCAUUACAGAAGGCUCACCUUCAUCCAUUUUCUCCAAAUAACUGGGGUCUUGGACUCUUGAGGGGGGAAAUGCUAUAGUAGGUAGCUAGUAAGACAUGAGCAGAGCGGGAGAGGGCUCCCCGCCAAACCCAACUAGGAAGCUCAGGCGACCAUCAGAUGAGGGUCAGGUGGUUGUUAACUGUAUCUCUAAAAUAAUAAUUGGUUGCAGCCAGUGCCAGGGAAAGGCAGUCUCCCUAUAGAUAGAAAAAACCUGAAACUGGUGAUCAGUAGCUUCCCAAUAAGAUCUCAGGAGUUGGGUGAGUGAGCUCGAGCAUGCCAUGAUGGAGUUUAACUGGUAUAUAACCUUCCUCUAGGAAUGCUAGAUUGGUAAGGGAAGAAUGCCCCAAGUGAGCAUGCGUACAAUUCCAAUAAACACAUUGUGCAUGUUCCUCUCCCAAGUGCUAGCAGGCCAUUGCACAUGUGGACAGCUCACCCCAAGAGAAGAAUUAAGGGAGAAGGAACACAAAACCCCCAAAGUAUGCCAGCAUGUAAAAACCCCAAUUCAAAGGUCAAACCAUGCACCAUGAAAAACAAGUGUGCACUUGUGUUGCAGAUUGCCCACUUGGCCCUCUUCCAAGUGUGCUUUUUUCCUUUCA
rnacentral:lncRNA from 1 species